UUGAAUCUUUAAGAGGGAGGGUAAGCGAUGCCUGGACAAAAAGACGAGCGAGUCCACGAGACAAAUAGCGACAGACGAACCGAUCGUGAAGGGGGAUAGGUGAAAAUGAAGAAAGAAAGAAAGAACAAACGAGGGCGGAGCAAGCUUUAUGCCGUCUCUUGGGUCCUGUUUCAGGAUCGAAUUGCCAACUCGUCAGAAUUGCACACCGGAGGGGUGUCAAACUUCUAUUUCAUUCUUUUUCGCUUCUUCUUCGCAUCUCUGUCAUAGUAAAUACUAGGUGCUUUCUAUUCUUUCGCGCGUUUAUUCGACCUUUUUAUACACGAUCGAUUGCGCUUUUUCUCAUCGGUUUUCAUCAUGUUUCUCUCUUUUCAUGGAAUACGUAAACAUCGUUUAUUCCAACUGCUCUUCGUUGCUUAUUCGACAGACUUCCCUGUUAUUUGCAGCUUUUAAAGUAUUUUUAUCACCGAUUGGAUAAAGGCGUUGGUACUGUAGAGAUUCUAAUUAAUUUCAAUUUAAUUUAAUAUAAUUCCUGCCAGUUUUCAAAUACACAAAAGCACGGGAAAAUAUUCGAAUUCAAUCCUUAGAUGGCGGACCAUGGAGAGAGCUAUUCAUAUUUAAAAUAGUAAUCAAGAAACCGUAAUGCUAAUCACAUCGAAUUAAUUUGUGCGCCUAAUAUUCUAAUUAUACUCUAAUUCUACUAUUAGAAUAUAAUUUCUAUUGUCUUAAGUGCAAUUUCCAUAACUAAAAUAAAUAAUAAUAUUAUAAGAAAAAAUGAAAUUCUGCCACGAUUAAAGUAGUUUUCCCUUAAUUCUCUUUAAUUUUUUUUAAUCUUCCUCCUACACUUUCUUCGUCCGAUACAAUGCAAAAUAUUAAUCAAGCAAACGAUACAGAACCGUUGUCACGUAACGAGGCACACAAAGGUUAGCCCCAUCGCAUUUUUUUUUUUUUCUUUCUCUUUCACAUUCGACGUUCGCGGGAAAACAUCCGAGUGUCUCUCUAAAUCCCGCAGCCUGCUCCCUUUCUGAAGCCGCGGAACGCAGUCUAUUAUGGCUGAUAACAAAACGUCAUGGGGGUAGGGAAAUCGUUAUGCAGCAACGGCAUGUAGCAAACCCUGGCGAAUUCGAGCCAGCUGGAAAGCUCCGACUCGUAAGCGGAGCUUAAAUCUGGCUUUGUCAUGGUGAAAACGUGGAAUCGAGCGUCGGGUCUAGGCGAUCCUCGCACCACCUGGACGAAGGGAUGACAGAGAGGGGGUGGCGCAGAGGGUGACCGAGGCCGAGAGAAUCGAGCCCUCCGUGUAUGGGUGGUGCAAUGACAAAGGUAGAUGAAGAAACGCAGACAGAGAAAUGAUAAAAGAAGAACUGUGAAGAGGAACAGGUAUUGAAUGGGACUGAUGGUGGUUAAGAAAAAAUAUCGAACCACAAUUUUAGAAUUCCUAAAAUUUCAAAAUUUCUCUACGCUAAACAGUCCCAGUUACGCCAGUGUAUAGAGAGAAAAAGGCAUUUCUGAUAAGGGUCAUUGUCAGAGAAAAAUGAUUCCUAAUGAGGGAAAAUUAAAGGCAAUUAAGAGCACGGAAAGCAGAGGGUUAGAUUAAUGGAAAUAAGAGCAAGGAAGAGUGCAUCUGCUGGAUUGAAAUAAAGAAAAAGAUUGCUAGGAAGAUUAUGACCCGAAGAAAUAACGAGAUUAAGGGAAACAGGAAACGUUUAUGAGUGAGUUCUUUAUGGUGCCCUUGAGAACUGUAACUGGAAAGUUGGAAAAUGAAAAUAAAUGGAAAAUAUCCACGAUGAAAACGUCAAGGAUUGAAAUUCCGCGAGAAGAAAAAGGAAAUCUAAGUACAUAGUCAAGAGCGAUGAAUAAAGAAAA